AUUUUAGACUAAAACGCAAUUUAAAAUUUUGCGAUAUUGAGAAAACUCAUAUGAAAAAUUUCAAAAUGCGAGUUUAAAUUAUUGCGAUUAUAACUCUGUCGAAUUUUCGCAAUAAUGAAAAUAUCGCAAUAAAUUCUGAAUUUACGGUACACCCUAUCAGAGCUAAAAUGAAGACAAAUUUUGUUUUAAAAAAGCAUGGCACAAUAAAACAACAUAGAACAGC
rnacentral:lncRNA from 1 species